rnacentral:rRNA from 1 species
UACGUAGGUGGCAAGCGUUGUCCGGAAUUAUUGGGCGUAAAGCGCGCGCAGGCGGUCCUUUAAGUCUGAUGUGAAAGCCCACGGCUCAACCGUGGAGGGUCAUUGGAAACUGGGGGACUUGAGUGCAGGAGAGAAAAGUGGAAUUCCACGUGUAGCGGUGAAAUGCGUAGAGAUGUGGAGGAACACCAGUGGCGAAGGCGACUUUUUGGCCUGUAACUGACGCUGAGGCGCGAAAGCUAGGGGAGCGAACGGG